rnacentral:rRNA from 1 species
GUUUGAUCCUGGCUCAGGACGAACGCUGGCGGCGUGCUUAACACAUGCAAGUCGAACGGUGAAGCCCAGCUUGCUGGGUGGAUCAGUGGCGAACGGGUGAGUAACACGUGAGCAACCUGCCCCGGACUCUGGGAUAAGCGCUGGAAACGGCGUCUAAUACUGGAUACGAGACGCAACCGCAUGGUUAGUGUCUGGAAAGAUUUUUCGGUCUGGGAUGGGCUCGCGGCCUAUCAGCUUGUUGGUGAGGUAAUGGCUCACCAAGGCGUCGACGGGUAGCCGGCCUGAGAGGGUGACCGGCCACACUGGGACUGAGACACGGCCCAGACUCCUACGGGAGGCAGCAGUGGGGAAUAUUGCACAAUGGGCGGAAGCCUGAUGCAGCAACGCCGCGUGAGGGAUGACGGCCUUCGGGUUGUAAACCUCUUUUAGCAAGGAAGAAGCGAAAGUGACGGUACUUGCAGAAAAAGCGCCGGCUAACUACGUGCCAGCAGCCGCGGUAAUACGUAGGGCGCAAGCGUUAUCCGGAAUUAUUGGGCGUAAAGAGCUCGUAGGCGGUCUGUCGCGUCUGCUGUGAAAACCCGAGGCUCAACCUCGGGCCUGCAGUGGGUACGGGCAGACUAGAGUGCGGUAGGGGAGAUUGGAAUUCCUGGUGUAGCGGUGGAAUGCGCAGAUAUCAGGAGGAACACCGAUGGCGAAGGCAGAUCUCUGGGCCGUAACUGACGCUGAGGAGCGAAAGGGUGGGGAGCAAACAGGCUUAGAUACCCUGGUAGUCCACCCCGUAAACGUUGGGAACUAGUUGUGGGGUCCUUUCCACGGAUUCCGUGACGCAGCUAACGCAUUAAGUUCCCCGCCUGGGGAGUACGGCCGCAAGGCUAAAACUCAAAGGAAUUGACG